GCCGUGCUGCGGUGCGGAGGGGCCGGGAGCCCGGCUGGGCUGCAGAGCGAGCUUUUGUUUUUCGCGUCGUCCAUCGUGUUAUACGAUUAAUUCUUUGUCGGAAUUACCGUGGACGGUUCGAGAAUAGGUAAAAGUAAUCACGUCGGGUGCAGGUAACAAUCUUCAGAGCCUCGGAACCGCCGUUCUGACUAGCCGAAGCAUCCCGCGAGGCCGAGUCCCGGCUCUGAAGAAGAGACGCACACGAGUGCAGUGCUCACCCCCUCCGGUGUUCCUUCCCUGCACGGCCCAGCACGGGGGAUGAAGGCUUGCAGAGCGCCGGCAGUGUCUGUGCAGAUCCACACACCUGCGAGGGCUGCAGAAGUGCUUUGGUAGCUGCGCACGCUGAGUGCCGGCAGCGCCGCUCUGCAGAGCUGGCAGUCACAAUUAAAAGCCCUGCCCGGUUAUGCUGUGCUUUCUCUCCAGAUGGGAGAAAAGCAGAGCAUUAGGGAAUAAUCAGCAUUGGCAGCAGCAAUUGCCAUUUGCAGAAUAGCUCAGAGGAUGGAAUAAUGUUUAUAUGCCCAAGCUAAACCUUGUUUGUGCAGUCAUCUACAGGGCUUUUUAGAGGAUGUGUGCCUUCGUUAUACUUCAGUUUAUGUGUUUUGUUUUACUUUCUCAAUACGUGCAGCUGAGUUGCAGUUUGCUUUUAUCUGCUUCCUGAUUGGGAAUGUAUACGAUGCAUUUGAGCACUGGAAAAGACUGUUAAAUAUCCUGUGCCGUUCUGAAGAGGCCAUUGCAAAGUAUCAAGAGCUUUAUGCCAAUCUCAUCUUCGUCCUGUAUCACCAGCUGAAUGAAAUCCCGUCUGAUUUCUUUGUGGACAUCGUCUCCCAGGACAACUUUCUGACCAGCACCUUGCAGGUGUUUUUUUCCUACACGUGCAAUGCUGCUGUUGAUGGGGCCUUAAGGAAAAAGGCUGAAAAAUUCAAAGCUCACCUAACGAAGAAAUUUAAGUGGGACUUUGACGCAGAGCCUGACGACUAUGCUCCUGUAGUGGUAGAGCUUCCUGAGGGCAUGCUCACAGACUAAGCAAAGUGCUCACAUAGAAACAAACAGCUUUUUUUAAAAUCACUUUUACUCUACACCUUUCUUAACUUUUCCAGCUUCUUAAGUCAUUUUCUGUCGCUAAUUUCUCUUGCUGCUGUAAAGACAGAUUUGGAAAAACCAGAAAGAUUCCUCACCACAUGAGAAGAAUUGUUGGAGCUGUUUGAACACAGCCACAUGGCUUUGGACACCUUGUUUUUCUUCUAGCCCUUCUGCGACAACUUCUCGUUCUGUACUGAACAGCUCCUUACUCUGGUCUUACCUGUCUGGCUGGAGGUGAUGCAUCUCACACCUGGAGCCUGUGCUGCUCCUGUUUGAUGCCGCUGGAAUGAGGAGGGUAAGCUCACGACUGGUUAUAGCUUUCUGCAGCCUGAACCCAGGCUCUGAAUGGAGAACUUCUACUCUUCCUAGGCUCGAAUUACAGGAAUGUAACCAAAAGCAUUACAAAACUGUGUCAGAUCCUUAGCUGCUUAAUUAUGAUUUAUUGCUAUGUUGUGGAGGAGUGCUCAAAGCUGCAGCAGAAUUCAUCCCAUUUUAUACCACUAACACUGAAAUAUCUUUUCCUCUAAUUCUGUUGAAACCUUUUGUACUUACUGCUGACACUCUGUUUAGCGUGAAGUAAAAGAAUGUUAACAGUUUGAUAACAUUCAUUACUGGACAGUGGUCACCCAGGUUUUGAAACAGAGGAAAAUGAGAUGCGUGUCAGGCUUUUACAUGAACUGCACCCUUCUGUUUUGUUGUAAUCAGAAACUUUAAGUACUUUCACAAAAGACGGUCUCUUCUUUCUCCCCAUCUUCCCUAACGUGGGUUGUAGGAAAAUUCUAUAGGGCUCUUUAGGCCCUGCAGUCUGCUCAUUAACCUUCUCCUCUGGUAGAGUUCUUCAAAUAUUUGUCUGUAUGUGUAUCUAACAAGAUAACACUGCUUGUCCUUCUUUUUUAAUUAAAAUAAAUCUUAUCUUGGUCUUGUCUACAGAAAACAUCUGUACAAUUUUGUUAUUUUAUAUAUGUAUUAUAUAGCUGAAGUUUAUGGUGCUGUGUGGCUGGCCUGUCUCAUUGGGAUGUCCAGUGUCCCCAAAAGUAACAUCACAGUGUUACUGUUCUGUUCUGUUGUGUUCUGUUACAUCUAAGUUCAACUCAUAAUGAGCAGUACAUGGCAGGGCACAAAUGCAGCAUGUUCUGGGAAGGGAGUAUGUGGUUGUGUGUUUCCAAAUAAUCAGUAACCUACUGCAGGAAUCAGCUGCCAGAAACCCUCAUGUUGCUGCCUUGAUACAGUUUCUUCACUUUCCUCAAGGGCUUUAAACUCCAUUACUCUGGUGUCUUGGUUUGUCCAUUUUCAACAGACUGAAUACUGAACAUGAGCCCUCAGGGGAGGUCACUGCAGUUUGGUGAGUGUUUUGUUCUUAACUUUAUCUUUACGUGCUUUCUUGGCCUUAACGUCCUUGAGAUCUUUUACACUCUGACUGUGCUCUUCCCAUCGUCUUGCUCUUUGCUUGCCUAUAUCCAGAGGGAGUGCUGUCUUUGCAGUUGUCAUUUGGACAAAUUGUAAGGGGCGUUCCCAGAUUUGAUGAAAGGUGCCUGUUUGGUUUGUUGGCUCUUUGCACCAACACAAUGACUGAUUAUGCUGCUUUAGAGUAGAACACCAGUUACUGAUGUAACUCAGCAGCACAGGUAGCAUGGAGCCUGGGGACCAUCCUGUCUGAAAGAUGAAAAGAUGAAUAGUGCUUGAUGCUUGUCCUGGCUGAAAACCAGUUUGGCCCAACAGUGUCAAUGCUUUGCAGACUGUCCUGGUGGUGCUCCUGCUUCUUUGAUGGAUAGGUUACUUUGAGUGUGUCUUUGGAAGUUAAUUAUCAGGUUUUGUUUUUGAGAUUUAACAUGUGUAGCAGCCAGAUUCCCAUAAUAAACUGCAGUUUUAACAACCGAGAACAGAAAAUAUAAUUGUUCUUCCAUCAUGCUUUUGGUGAGGCUGUAAUAGAUGUCUCUAAUUAGACCCACAAAGGAGGUGGGGAAGAAGUAAGCUUUUGGGGGCAUCAUCCAUUUGCUACAUGUGAAACAGAAGGAGGGAAGCUAGGAACUUUCAGAUAAAUAUAGAUUGAGGUUGAGUGCUUGGAGUUCAACUCUAGGAAUCAAUUGCACGCUUAAGGGAAGAGGGAAAUUGGCACAUACAUGUGGCAACACAGAUUGAAUGUUUGCAAGGGGAGAUGGUCAUAAAUCUGGGAGGGGAAGGAGGUGAGGGCUGUUAUUCUUGUUGAAGUCAGCAGGAAGGAGGGCAUAAAUAGAAAGCUGUAGCAUGUCAUGGCAGAAAUAUUUUUUUGCCUUUGUAUAGCCUGAGGACACCUAUGGCUGUGAUAACACUACCCCUUCCUUCCAGCUAAAACAGCUGGAUAAUCUGGUAUGAUAAUCUGAAAGCAAAAGAGAGAUUUGUGUGUGUGUAAAUACAGAUUACUGCACGCUAAUGAAGUGUAAUAGGUGAUGUGUUUGCAGCACUGAUUCAGCAAUGAAUUAGGGUCAGGCCAAACUGCAGUGUGCAUUAUGAAAUGGCACCGAUGCAUGAGGUAUGUUGGCUUUAUGUAUAUGCAGAGAGUUGUCCAGCUGCCAGAGCUGUGCAGUGAGGCAAAGUGGUAUUGUUCUUGUCCUCUGAUAUGUGCAAAUUAUGUUGGAAUGUGGAUUCUGCUCAGUCCUGGGUGAAGGUCAUCAAUUAAGGAUCAACAAUAAUGACAUCUACAGUGCAAAGUCCGGUGUGAUUAUAUUCAGCCUUGGGAGCCACCAUUCAAUUUUCAUUCCUUCAUUGACUCUUAACAUUGGGCAGACCAGAGCUGAGUCUCGAUGAUAGGUAUUUUGUAUGGUAACCUCUGUUGUUCUGCACCACCCUGAAAAGAGUAGCUUCGAGAGUUUCAUUGAUCUUGCAAAUGAGAAGAUGUGAAACGGGUUAUAGAAAGCUGUCCUUCCAUCCCAGUGACACGGCACACCCUUCUUUUGUUGGGAAGAGAAAUAGAACAUCCUUCCCUGCCAGCUCAUGCAGCCUCCGGUUUAAUUUCCACCUCCUUCUCUCUCAUCAAAAUGGCAGGUGGACUGUGUCCAUCUGUUUUCAGGGGGAUUUCUGCUGAUGGCUUCAUUGUGUUGCCAGUGAGCAUCCAGAGUGUAGUUCUGCAUAUCCAAUUGAUUUUACGUGGCAGCUAUGUCACCAGUGUUUUAACUCCUGUGACAGCAAUGCUUAGAGUCCUUGAAGGGCACCAAGGUCAUGCAGUGUUAAUGCCAUGCAGGCACAUGGAGGGGUUCUCAUCUCACUGCUUGACUGCUUGGUGCUUGACUGCUCCAUGCUUUCACUUUACACCACUUAACGGUGAGUUUAAUUUUUGUUAUUAUCUGCAUGGUCUCUUACAGCAGCCCUAAUGUUCCUGUGUCUGUCUUGUUUCAGCUCAAGUCUUUUCUAUUUCUAUUAGAUGUUCCUAUUGUUUGUUACUCCUGUACCCUUAUUUUUUCUAUUCCAGAAGUAACAAAUAUGAGAUACUUGCUUAGGCUUAUAGCAAUUAACAGGAGUCUGUUGACAGACAGCACCUCUGUUUGGAGCAGCAUUCAUUUCUGCUAUUGCUAAGGUGCACCUCUGUCAGCUGGAUGAAUAAUGCCAGCUGCUGUGGAUGGAGCCUUAGCACUGAGCUCCUGGAAAAUGGACAAAGAUGAAGCAGAACAUCUUGAUUCCUUCCUCUGAAAAAGGAAAUAACUUCCCUCGGAUCCUGCUGUUUGUUGUCCAGCAAAGCUGACAGUGCAGCCCUGUUACUAUAAAGGAUGUACUGUGAAUGGUUGUUCCUUCAUGAUGUGGUCACCUACUCUAUAGCUAUUUCUGCUCGUCCUCAGAGAACGUGCAGCUCCCUGCAUUCAGGCUGGAAGUAGUCCAGAGCCAUCCUACUGAGGCAAGUGCUGUACAAGCCACAGAGUGGAGCUGAAGCACAGCUGGGAGGAUGCCCCAAGCAGCAUGGCUGUGCUGGAGCCUGUAAUUAAUGCAGGGGACGCGUUGAUUCUGCAGGAGCUGCGUUAAGAGCAUAAAUGAGUUGCAAGGCAGCCUAACUGCAAAUAAAUAAACUAAGUCUAAAUGGGUUAAUCAAUAUGAGAAAAAAUCCAUAUACACAGCAUAUCAGAGCCACUGCUUUGGAGUUGUUGGGUCUGUUUCAGCUGGCUCAGGGCUUUGCAGUUCCACAAGGAAGGUGCUCCUAUCUGUUGUUGCAGUACUGGUUUGUGUGGCCAUGCUAUGGCCGUGCUUUGCUGCCUGGCAUGCCCUGCUGCUAUGCUCACCUCUGCACGCACUGCCCCCAGGAGCUGGCUGAGAAGGCUGUGCUGGGCUUGGGCUGUUUGGAGGUCUGUCAGGUGUCACCUUAGGGCAGGCAAGGAAUGAGGGUGAGAAGGAUGUUCUGUGAUCCUAAUUUCUCAUCUCAGGCCCCUUUACAGACAUUGUGAUGGCUGUGCUGGGGGCCUGUCUGGCCAUUCCCUUGUCCUGCGCCCCUGGGGUCAAACAGGACAUGUAUCUGAAGCACUGAGAAGUUUCCCAAAUUUCACAUUCUCAAAGCCAUAAUGCUUGCAUGUUUUCUCCACCUGCUGGUGAGCUGGCAUUCACUAGAACUCUGCCUUAAUCCUGCCGUGUCUCUGCACAUUUCCUUAUUGUCUAUUUGCCAAAAUUACUCAUCAUUUGGUACUUGAAAGAAGCUUCUGAACAGGAGAGAGAGCAACUUUUUACAUGAGCCAGGUGACAAGACAAAGGGAAGUGACUUUAAACUGAAAGAGGAGGUUUAGGUCAGGUGUGAAUGAAAGUUCUUUACCCAGAGGCAGUGCAGCCCCAGCACUGCUGCCCAGAGCUGUGGGUGCCCCAUCCCUGCAGGUGCCCAAGGCCACAGCAGGGCCCUGGGCAGCCUGAGCUGGGGAGCAGUCAGCACAUGGCAGGGCUGGGGGGCCCUUCCGUCCGAGCCGUGCUGGGAUACCAUGACUAUUGUCGCAGACCAUGUGUCUUCAAAGUGGUGUCAGUGUUCUCCAGCAGUGUUGACUCCACACCUCUGCACAUCCCAGUUUCUGACCAGGCCAGAAGUAGUGCUUACUUUCGGUCCUCAGUGAGAUCUCCUGGAGCCUUCUCUACACCAUGCUGAAUGAACCCAGCUCUCCCAGCCUUUCACCACAGCAAAGGUGUUAAGACAGAGCUUUCUUUGUGCCAGGCUGCCUGCCAAGAAGGCAGUGGCUCACCUCCCCCUGGGGCCUUCACAUGCUGGUCCUGAAGGGGCUGCCUGCUCAGGUGCUCAGCAUCACUGCCUCUGCAGAGCAACAAAACAGACUUUGCACUGUGACAUCUCCAAGCAAAGGUGACUGUUCUUAGUCACAGAAAGGAGAAGGAUUCCUUUAAUAUGGUUUUCUCCAGGAUUUUAUCUAAUGACAUCAAUGUGUUCACAUUAAUGAAUAGCCAGUGCCUCCUACUGUUCCAUGCAAUCCCCUGUGCCCACCAGGCGUCCCCCGAGGGACCUGCUGUGGGGAACACCUGGAAAAACCCCUCUGUUGCAGCACUGAGGGGCAGGGAGUGGCAAGGAAGUGGGGAGGAGGAGUGUGCAGACAGUGCCAGGCAUCAUCUUUGGUGAAAAAAUGAGUUAGGAUCACUGUGGCCCAUUGGUUUUGGGCCGUGUUUCUGUAGAGUAUCUCCAGAUAAUGUGACUACUUUAUGAGCAAGUGCCUUUUAUUUCUUGAACUGAAUAAUCUUGCCAACAGACUAAAUCCACAUGUGUUUGGAAAUGGUGUGGUUCCCAUCUGGUGAUGAAAGCAUCCUGCUCAGCACUCGGUGGGAGGCAGAGCUCAUCUUGCAGCCUCACUGACCUUCCAGGAGCUUGGCUGGCAGGCGAUCUGAGCCUAGAGCUGUGCGAGGGGACAAGGAUGAUCCAGAUCCUGCUGCCCAUUACUGCCUGUUGGCCUGUGUACAGUUGGGGUGGGCUGGUGGCUGUCACAUCACCAGGGCUGGGAGUCCUUCCAGUUGGGCUGAGCACAGCUUUGAGCCGCUUGAGAUUCUGCUGGUCAUUGUUGAGAGGCUCCCAAACUUGUGAGAGACCUUCUGUCUGUCUGCAAUCCAGCAGGGACCUGUUAAACAGUCACCCAGCUGUGGUGUGUGACCACUUGGGGCCUCUUGUGGCUUUAUUUCAUUAGGAGGAGAUCACCAGGGAGGACUGCAUGUAUAGCAUUACUGGAAGUUCACGCUCUCUAAGUGUGUUCAUUUAAUGGCCAGUAACCAGUUUGGUCUAAUGUUCCUUUGGGGGCUCUCAUACACUUUAUCAGAAGACACAGGCAGAUAAGGAGCUCUCUGCAUUAGCAAGAUACUCCACCUUCCUUAAUAUUCAUUGUUCCCUGCAAGGACUUUUUUGUACUUGCAAAGAAAAUGUAUCUUUAAUUUACAUUUUCUCCCUCUUCCUUUGCUUUUUCAAUAGCAAAGCACUCAUCCAUGCUUCAAAAGAAUGUCCAGAUUUUCCUGCCAUGUCAGGAGUCAUAGUCCAGUUUUAACAUGACUGAAUCUAUCUGUCUCCUCUGUGCUUCAGUACCAAAAGAAACUGCAGCUUUUGUCUUCUGCCAGUAAUAAAUGUUUUUUUGUUUUUUGUUUCUUUCCAUGUUCCUCUCAUGCUCAGUAAAAGCACCUCUGAGCUGGCUCUGCUGUGCCACCAUGCCUAUGGUCUGCAAGCCAGCCUUCUGUUCUCUGAAUGUGCACUGAGGAUGCUGUUAAGCACAAAGCAGGUGUGAAACAUUCAGUGGAAUAAAGGGCAAGGGCAACUGAGGCCUCAGAUGCUCUGAGGAUGUCUCAGUAAUGAAAGCACUGUUUCCAGGCAAAUGAAAUCAUUCUAUCUAGCAUGUGAGCAGAGGGUUAUUGCAUCCAACCACAGGCUGUGUCUGGGAAGUGACUUAUGCAGCUUUGACUGUCUUUGGUCCAUGAAAUUACAGCAGCAGCAUCUUUAUGCCUGCUCUAUUGUUAGUGGAGCUGAGGAACAGAAUCUCCUGCUUAGCUGCUGCCUGGCCACCAUUCUUCACCUAUAUCAUGUUUGUGCACAAAGCUGUUUUACCUCCACUCCAUUUCUUUUUCCCUCUGCUUCUUAUCCUUGCCUCUCUCAAUUCUGCUGACUUGCUGGAAAAACAUGAAGGAGGAGAGUUCUGCAUGCCUUCCCUGCCCCUCUGACCUGGUCUCUUUCACAGAGGAGUGAAAACAGGACAAAUCACUGAGUAGGUGAUGUGGGUGAUCGGUGCUCCAGGCAUUUGCUCUCCUGCAGCUGACAUGCAAAAGGACUGCUUUGCUCUGAUUGCCCAGUACUAGUUUUGUCAACACUAAGUAGGCUACUGUAUUUGGAAAAUGCUCUCUGUUCUGACUUAGGACCAUCACUUGCAUCUCUUGUGUGACUUCUUUUUGUUGUUGUUUUUUUUUUUUUUUAUCUUGGCUUCAAGUAUGGGAAUGGCAUCCAAGCAAAUCCAUGUGACUUCUCUGCCCAGUGGGCUUGCAUUCCUCUAGGUCCCAAUUUGCCAGGCUUUACAAGUGAUUUGUCACAGUCUUUCCUGAACUCACUGUGGUUCAUCUGUACAAGUGGACUUCAGAUGAGACAGUAAGAUGCCCAGGCUGGUGGUUCUGCUUUCACAAGGAUGCAGCCUAUGACAGAAAGUUCUGCUUUGCAGAACCAGUGGGAUACAAGGUAGGAGCACAGGCUGUGCCUGGGCUUAUUCAUUGGUGACUAGGAUGCUUCUCAGAUCUGGCAAAACAUAGCUCCUUGAAGGUGUGAAGCAGGUCUGCAGAUGUUGAGGAGACUACGGAUCAGGUUGAGGUGCAUAGGGCUGAGGACUACAGAAGCCAUGGCCUCAGUGGAGACAGUGCUUGGAAAUAUCCCCUGCCCUCCUCUCCUGUCUUUGGAUCCCAUGCACAGCAUCAGUCCUGAUGGGUCCAAGAAAGUGCACGGUAGGACCUCCGUGAGAGCUCUGUGUUAGCUGAACCUCCGCACAUUCAGGGAGGAACAGUGGUUUGCUUUGAAGACCUUCUCCUGCAUGGAUGUCCAUCUUUGUCUCCAGGUGAUGAGUCAGUAGUGGGAUUUAGGAUAUGAAAAUGUGAAUGCUUGGAUUUGCCAGGAAGAGACUAAGAACAUAGUCUGGGGAGGUGUUUGACUGAGAUGAGGUGUUCUAUGAGCAGGAUGGGUGCUGACCAUGCAGUCUGGGGGAAGUGAGAUAGGUUGUGUCUGUUGUGAUGUGGAAGAACAGCAAACUCUGACAGAGCUGCAGGGUUGGGGACAUGGGGCCAGAAUGAAGCAGAGCUCUGUCCCCACAGCUGCAUUUCUUCCUCCCUGCUGAGCAGCUCGGCCACGGCUCCCUGGCAUGAGCAACACAAGCCCAUGGCUGUUGGUGCCCCUGGCUGUACUGCUUUCUGGCUGGUGUUGAGUAAUGGGCAAGCUGGUGGCUGUGGAGGAGAGCAGCAUGGCCCUCCAAGCAGCCCUGGGAGCAGAACUGGGGCUGUAAGCAAUAUCUUUCCAGCAGCACUUCCCUCGGUGCACUGCAGCCAGGCUGGGACAAGGGAAAGGACAGGGUUCUGUGGCUUGAGCAUAGCUGGAGACGUAAGUGUCUGUGGCAGGUCCUGGUUCUGCAGUAAAGGACCUGAUUGGAAUCUGGCAGUUACUACUUGACAUCAAUUGGAAAUAUACUGGUGAGAAAAUGACUUUUGGGCCUUCUACCAGCCACUGCAGCUUGAUGAGCUACCUAGUUGCAUAAUAGCAUGUACCUAGAGAGCAACCUGUCUGAGGUGCAGCACCAAGCAGCUCUGUAUUUCUAGCAGUUUGAAGUCAAAUGUUCUGACUCCAGAAGCCCUCCUUGACUACUGCAUCGGAGAUGAAUGUAAAAGCAAGAAAACCCCAUCUGUCUUGCAGGCUGAAGUCUGUUUGCCCUGAUGUAUGCAGUCUUCCAUAGAGUGAGCACCUUCUGUUAGCAGCGAAACAGGAGGCUGCUCAGGGUUUAUGUGGCAAGGUUUUGGUAGCAGGGGACUGCAGGGGUGGCCUCUGUGAGCAGAGCCCAGCAGCUGCCUCAUCUCAGAUCAGAACCAGCUCCUGACAGUUCCAAAAGGAACCUGGUGCUGGCCAGACCUGAGCCAUGAGUAGUGCCGAGUGCCCCUGUGAGAGCAGAUGUAAGAAGGGAAAAAAAUGCUUCACAAUAGCAGCUGGGAGCGAGGAGUGAGACAUGAGAGGGAAGCAGCCCUACAGCCACCAAGGUCAGUGCAGAAGGAGCACAGAGCAGCAGCUCCCUGCAGCCCAGGAGAGGCCCACGGUGGAGCAGGCCAUCCCCCUGCUGCCCGCGGGCACCACACGGAGCAGAUCUGCUCUUGCAGCCAUGGAGGAACCUGUGGUGCAGCAGUGGAUGUGGACUGAAGAAGGUGCAGCCCACGGAGCCCCACAGGAGCAGAGCCUGGGCCGGAGCUGCAGCCCGUGGGGAAGAGCUGUGGGGAGCCGAGGGUCUGGGGGAGGAGCUGGAGCAGUGCCUAAAGGAUGGGCCCCAUGGUAUCGAGCCACAGCGGAGCAAUGCUUGGAGAGCUGCGGCCCACGGGAAGCCCAAGUGGGAUCAGUUCAGGAAGGACAACAUCCAUGGGAGGGACACACCUGGAGUAGGGGAAGACGCUGAGGAUGAAAGAGAAACAGAUGAUGGAGUGUUCUGGACUGACUGCAAUCCCCAUUCCCUUCAGGAGGAGUGAGAAGAGGGCAAUGGGAGGAACGUGGUUUUAGCUUGCUUUUAGUUCUCACUGAUUUAGUCUAUUAUCAGUAGGCAAUAAAUUAUAUUAUUCUCCCUUAUUGUUGAGUUUUUUUGCCUUUUAUGGUAACUGCUGAGUGUUCUUGUCUUAACCCAUGAGUUUUUUCAUUGUAUUUUCUCCUCAUCCUUCGCAAAAGGGGAAUGAGAAAGCCAUGGAGCAAAGCUGCGCUGCCCAUUGGUGCUGAACAAUGCUUCCCUGUGUCCUUCUGCCAUCUGAAUCACCCCUUUUCUGAGUGGCAAAUACCUCUUCAGUGCCAAUAGUGCUGCCCCAGGCUUGUUCUCUGCACGGUGGCUCCCCAUGCAGCUGCUAUGUGCUAGCACAUUGGUAAUGGAGGCUUUGGGAAAUAAUCUUUCACCCUGUGUCCUGGUAAGCAAGGGGAGCUAAUGUGAAGGAGGAGCUUGUUGCUGAGGUGACCUUUCCUGGAAGGGUUCUGCUUUCCUUCUGAUCCUGCUUGAAAAACAUCUGUCAAGUUUUCUGUACUCUUGCAGCAGAGACAGGUUAAGAUGCUUGCUGGCUGUGCUCCCUUGCCGUAAUGCUGAUUGAGGGCAGCUGUCAUAUUUUAGUGGGACAUCAUAGGCUACUGAAUGUGCUGGAUGCUGUCUUUGGCCUUGUCCCCCUCACAGCAAAGCCAGUGAACAAUGCCACUCUGGAAAGCCGUGUCAGGGAGAAGCAAGCACUUUACUCCUGCAGUGGAAGAAAAGAGGCUAAAAGCACAAGUUUAUCCCUCUGCCUCUGAAGCCCGGUGCUGGGCAAGGCAGCACCCAGCACACUGAGGCUUGGUGGAGCUGGGAGGAAGCUGGCAGCCACCACUGUGUGGCUGAAGGCCUGUGGGCCUGGGGAGACCUGCUCCUGUUACAGGCCAGGUGCAGGUCCCUGAGCUGGCACGAGUGCAGUGCGUGUGACUGCCUGACUGGAAGAUCUGUGCUCACAGUUGUAGCUGGAAAAUGUUUUGAAGUAGUCCAAGCAUUUGUCUAUAGCUGUCAGAGUUGUGCUCUCCUGAGGAUACGUGGUGGCAUGGUCUUGACUUGCAGUGACAGAGUGACAGAUGUGAGCAGACCCAGCAUUCUUGAAACGUCUCCAUUGAGCCACCCCUCCAGGCAGAAGGGGUGGUGGGCAGCACAGGGUUGUCUGUUGUCAGGAGUUUGGGAUGCAAUUGUAGGAAGGCCCCAUUAAGUCUGGGAAACGGCCUUGAUCAGUGUCGGGAUCAGAUACGUAACAUGCAGCCAUGUUCCAGUGCCCUGUGCAUCUGGCCCAGGAAAGGAACACGUUCCCUACCUGUGGCAGGGUCUUGCUGAGGCCAUGCCUGCACAGGCAGUGUGGGGUGCGGUGCUGUGGCCUGUCAGCAUCUCAUGGUGUGCAGUGGUUUGGCUGCAGCAGGCAGCCUGAAGGAGAUCAGACCAGCUCACUGCAGCUAGAGGCAGGAGGACCAGACCUUUCUCCACUUUGUUCUGACCUUGGAGUGAGGAUCUGUUCUGUCCAUGGAUGGCAGCCAGUGACCCCCAGCUUGUUUCUUCUCUCUGUAUGUUCUUUCUCCCACAGAUUUUUCUCUCUGGGCAUUUAUUUUCUCGCAGGCAAGUGACAGGCUGCUCGCAGAAAGGUCAGACUCAGGAGGGCACACAUCUCAUUAGCACUGACAGCAGAGCCCAGCUGCUCUGUGCACAUGCACCACAUGUCCCCUGCACACUGCCCAUGGCUUGCUGCUAGAGCGCUGCUCCCUUGACCCUCUGUGCAGGGGUCCCAUAUUGCCAGACCCCAGCUGGCUGAGUCUCUGUGGGAUUUCACUUCUUCUCUAGGAUGAAGCCUGUGCCACGUGUUGAAACCAGCAACUCUCAGAUGCAGCAGCUACAGGGCCGGCAAUUGGGAUGAAGUGGGUGGGAGGAGCAGCGUGCAUGGAUGUCACCAGAUAUCUCUGUCUCCUUGGAGCCUUUCCAGGAUGCCUGUACCCUAGCUGCAGAAAGACAUGGCCAUUUCUGUGUAAAUUCCUUUCACUUGACCUGGAGCUAGUGUCUCACUCAGUGAGAAGAAGAAAGCUGGCUAUGUUUUAUGGCUUUUUCCUGCAAGCUGUGUGUUUUUCCUCAGGUUAUAAGUGUCUCCGGACUGUGCCACCCCCAGACCUGCUGUGCUAGGUGCUGUGUGUAUGCAGAAUGUUACCCCCACCCACUCUGGGACUGGGAGGCUGCAGCUUAGGAAAAAGCUCUGGCAUUGUAGGCAUGACAGUUCAGGCUGUGAUAACAGCUUUGCUGAAUCUCUAAACCUUAGCACCAGAUGAACAGGCCUAAAUUGAUGUUGCCAGGCAGAGAUGAAAAUGCUACUGAGCAUCCUCAUACUGGCACAUCUGCUGGCAUCUGGUAUAGCAGCUCCCCUUGGUAAGACCGAGGUACUCAGUGUCCCUCUGACUGAUGUGGCACAGGCUGAUGAGGGCAGGUUUGUGUAUGGCUUUGAGCAUCCCACUGGCAGAGCCUGCAACAGCUCUGGCACAUCCUGUAUCCCUAACAGCCAAAGGGAGUCCUCUAGCCUGAGCCUGGAUGAGAGCAGAGGUUGCAAUGACAGACUCCAGAGCUGUGGCUUGCAGAGGAAUGCAAAGAAUGCUCUUGCCCUCAGUAGCAAUUCCAGCAAAACAUCUGGCUGCCCAUGUCAGGGUUUUUUAUAUUGCUUCCUUGAAGAAUUUCUGCCUUUGCCUGGCACUGAGAGGGGCCUUGAGAAAUUGUAUGGCAUCAUGGAAGUUGACAGCUUCAAAGUAAGAGUUACAUGCUUGGAGGAAGGGGCUGUGGUAGCCAGUGUGGUCUGGUGAGGAGGUGGUGCUGAGCUGAACAUACUGUCCCUGCACUGCUCUGGUAGAUGCUUACACAUCUAAGUACUGCCACUAUGGCACCUGACAAGCAUGUUAAUGAAAGAGGAGCAUGGAGGUAACAGAAUGUCCUGUAAGCCUCAUGCUGUUGACCACAUCAGAUGAUGUUCAGUACAGUGCUGUGCUAUAACCCCAUACCCUGGCUCACGUGUAAGACUCUAGAGCACCCAUCUGCCCUUCCCCAGCUGCUGCUCCAAGGGAGAUCAUCAUGUCAGCAGCACAGGGCAGGUUACCUCCCACUGACUGCCCUCUCCUGUCAGUGUCCUGGCAUGGUGCAGGGGCUGGGCAGGGGGCUAGCAUUUUCUGGGAAGUGUCCCUCUGAGUUGGCAGCUACCUUCCUGUUUUAUCUCUGUGCUUGGCUUCUCCUGCUUCUUUAUAUCUGCAUGCCCCAGUCAAGGCAGCGUGUGUCUGUGCAGCAAAGUCGUCUGUCUUCUGGAUGGCUGGUAGUGCUAAGGAACGCAGCUUAGUGUGGUGAGUGCACCCACACACAGCCCCUCAGCCCCGCGGUGGCACUGCUGUGCAGGUAGGAGCAGGCUGAGGGCUGAGGCUGGGUGCUCAAGGCUUGAUGCCCAUCUCACCCCUCAGUCCAGGCAGGCAUGGUGCACAAGCACCUCCGUGGGGACUUUGACUCCCAUUGCAGGAGAAGAUCUCAGCCAUGGCUGUGUGUGGUUUUAGCAGUCAGGCUCUCCUGACUGGCACAGUAGGAAACGACAAAUGUCCCCUUCCUAUGUGUGGCAGCCCCGGGUGCAAAAGUGUUGAGGAGUGCCUAAUUGCUGUGCUCUAUAAAAAGAAAUAAGUAAGAAGGGCUUUUGCAGAGAGUGUAAUCUCCUGGGGAAGAAAUAGCUGCUCUCUUCCACCCACACCAUGCACAGGAGGCCUUCAUGCAUCGACUGAUCCUUUCCUUUCUACUGACCAUGGUCAGACAGUUGGAGCCUCCUGCUGGGGCACACAUCUCCUUCCACCAUGGGGCAGGACUAAGGCUCUCCUCCCCCUCUCAUCUCUGUGCCAGGCUGGGCAAUUGGCACAGCCAUUCUCAGUAGGAUCCUCUUUUGAGGAUUUUAGUUAUGGGUGUCUCUAUUCCUCAGCUGCCUGCAGUAGCUCCUGUGACUUCAGCUGGCCACACAUUGCCCAGUGCAGCUCACAUGGCCUUGCCAAUGCUCCCCCUCUCUGCACUCUGUCUCCCACUCAGACAGAACCUCCUUAUGAUCCCAGGGCCCUCAGUGAGUGUUCCUGGCCAUGCAUCUUCUCUGCAGUGACAAGACAUUGACAGGGGGAUGCUUGGUUGGUGAGGUGUGUCUGAGUCUCAGAUAGCACCAAGACUUGGGAACCAGAAAGCCACAGGGAAAGAGAUGGGAUCUGGGGCAGGUAGAGCUGCUGGGAGUGCUUGCUGACCUUGAAAGCAUUCUUCCACCCAACAACUGAUUUAACUGGGGAUAAAAAACAAAUCACUAUCUGUUGCAGGAUGUUGUAAAGAUCAGAAGUAUGAAAAAAGAUUUGAAACGCAGUUGGAUAAAAAUAAUUGGGUAAAUAUAGUAAUAUAUCUGCAACCUUUGGCUCAGAAAAUGACCUAAAUCUGGUUGAUCAGGGAAAGGUAACAGGGCCCUGAAGGAGUGGAGGUUGUAGGUUGUGCAGUUUUCCCAAACUACUAGCUGUGCUCAUGGGAGCUGGCAGAAAAGGAGGGCUGUUUUUUGAACCUGAUUUGUUUGCCUUUGAACUAUACAGGUUCUUCUGGAUUUGUCACUCCCACACGUUUCUGUCCUCUCUUCAUUUUCUCCUACUUAAUUACAUCACGGUACGCUUCACAGAAUCUCCUUCUCUGUAAAGCAUCUGGAAGCCUGAGGUCAGGGACUGACUCUUGGCCUUGCUCAAAAUGCAGCACUCAGCACUGACUUGCUUGUGGGUAUUAGGGGUGAGCAGUGGAGGAGAAGCUGUGGCUUUCAGAGUGCUCCCUCCCCACAUGUUGCCAAACAUGACUCAAGAAAAGCUGCUCCUCCUGAAUAUGGAGCCCAUUCUGCCCCUGCCUGUCCUUACUGUGGGUGAGUCAAGGAGGGAGUUCCAGGGCUCUGUUGUGGCCUCCUGACUCCAGCAUUGCAAUGGGGUGCUCCUUCAGUAUUUUGCUCUCCAAAUGGAGUGUCUUGGUUCUGGUCCCUUGCACAAGCUUAUCAGGAUUGUUGCAGCAAGGUGAUAUGGACCCCAGUGCCAGAGUUAAGGGUGGGAGGUCUGGCAAGUAUAGCAAAGAAGUGUAGCUAAGGUUUCUCCCGGUUAUUACUAGGUUGUCAAGCUAAGUGAAAAAAAUAUACAUCCAGUGGAGCAAAUGAGGCUGCAGAGUUUAGAAACGGAAGAAAGAAAACUAGCAGAGGAGCUACUGGGAGCUCAGGGGCUACCUGGCCUUGAGUUCACACUCCUUGCAGCAAACUGGGCAGGGAACUGUGAAAUGGCAGCCUGCAACACGAGCAUCUGCUGUUUCUUCUACCCAUAUAAAAAUGUGCAACUGCUGGGGGAGCUCCAGACAGCAGCUGAUGGGCUCUCCAUCGCAGUGAAGGCACACCAAGCCAAGCUCUUGCCACAGCCAUGGAGCGAUCACAGCCAUGACUGGAAGGGGAAGGAGCAGCUGGUGAACUCCUCGACACAGCCAGGCAAACUGGGCACAGCAUCUACAGCAGUGUCUUAUCACAGACACAUAGGCCUGGAGACUGCACCAGGCAGAAGUAGUUCCCAGCUGCAGGGAGCUGGGGCUCAAAGCAGCUGCUUGGGGGUCAUGCAUGGGAUGAUGGGCAGGGUAUGAAAGCACAUGGCAGAUGACAGGUAAGAGUUAGUGCUGCAUUACUCAUCACAACAGAAUUUGCCUGGCUUGUACUGAAUGCAGCACUAAGCUGCAAGGAGCUGCCUCUCAGUGAGGACACAGUGUACCAGAAAAUCAGGUGCAUAGCUUGAUAACGAUAUGAUGAUACAGUUUUGGCUCAUACAAGCAGUAACAAGAGACAGGAGCAGAAUACAAGGAGCCAAGCAUCCAGUGAGAAGACUGGGAGAGAGGGGGACGUGGGAAGGAAGUAGGGAAAAGUAGAUACAGUCUGCAAUGGAAAAGAUGUACCUGGGUUAGGGCUGAGGAUCUGCCUGUCCUGAGGAGGAGGAUGGCUGGGCAGAAGAUGGCCUUUUCCUUUCCCCUCCACCUGUCAGAGGGAUUCUGCUUUUGGGCUACAGUGUCACCUUUGCUGGAAGAUGAUGAUGUUUGUUUGUCUGCCCCUCAUCUGGAAUCUGCACUCUGUUGGCAGAAAGGGAUCAACUCCCUAGGCCUUUCUCAUUUUUGCUUUGGAUUUUGUUUUCUUAAUUGGACAUGCAGCCACCAAUUCUGUGAGCAGGCUGCUGCAGGGACUGGUGUGCUGAGGGGAAAGCUGGCUAAUGAUGCAGGGAGCUGCACGAAGCAUCACUGGGGGAUGCCUCAUGCAAACGCAUAAUAUGCAUAAUUUACUGAAACUUUAAUAUUAAUGUUCAAUCUAGCCUAACCCCUUGUAAAAACAAUUAGCAACAAAACCGCCUUUGCAGCUACACAGAUGUCUUAUUCUUCCAGUGGCAGCAGUAGGGCUUUUCUUCCUCUGCCCCAUUUUGCCAUUCACUCUGCUUCUCAGCUCCUAGUCAGAGGGCAGGAACGAGGAAAGAAAGACAGCUUUUAAAAGCUCCGUGCUGCUCUGUGGGGCCAUCGAGGAGCUUGUCUUGUCCUGUAUCUGUGAGGAUCUGUGAGGAUCUGUGAGGAUCACCCUACUUCUCUUUCCAAACAUGGAGAAGAUUUCGCUUUGUAACAAAGUUUCUUUUCUCUCUUUUUGUUUAAUUUUACCAUCUUGGGCCUCACUUAUCCUCAUGCCUCUCUCCCACCCAGCUGCCAUUUAACAUUGUAGAUUGUAGAUUGACUUUGUAGUUGCCAUUCAAAUGGAAUUUGUUUGGCUGGUAUGAUACCCUGUACGAAUUGAUGCAGUCAGUGGCAUUAGGAGUGAGCUGAUACCUUAUGCAACAAACCUCCAUUCCCACAUUCAGCUAUGUUCAGGCCCUUGCUUCAUGAAUUGCUGCCAUACAUCCAUCCCAAUGGAAGCAGAGCCCAAGCCUGACCCUGGUGGCUAUGGCUCUGAGGGGACAAUAUCCUUUUGGAAAUUGCUUCUAAUUUGGGCAGCUUCUAGAGACAAAAGCCUCUUGGAAAGCAUCGCUGGAGCCUGAUCCAUAGACCUGCUUUAGCCUCAUGCAUCACCUCAUUGUUUCAUCCCCCCCCCCGCCAAGCACCAUCACUCAGUUCUGACUCCUCCAUCCCCAGUGACAAGGGCACCUGGCUGAAGGCUUCUCAAGUUGGGGCACUAUCAGAAUUUAGCUGAGAGUGGCAGUGUGGAAGGAAACAGGAACUGGGGAAAGGAUAAUGCAAUAUCCACUUUUCUGCCAGCCUUCACACCCCAGAAAAGGAGAGUGGCCAGCUAGGGAUAAGGCUCAAACACCUCUUGUAGCAUAUUCUUGUGUCUACACACAAACUACUGGAAGGGCUCACAGAGAGGUCUGCAGUACACAAAGCCGGGUGCUAGCAGGUCCCUGUGCUCAUGGCAGCACUUUGCCUCUGUUAGGAUUAGAAGUGAAGAAGCUGUGGUCCUUCAGCACUCCCGCUCUGACCUCCUGUGUUCUUUCAUCUCAGCAGACAGCAUAGCCUUUUUUCCCCUAGAAACUCUUGAACUGUGUGUAUAGGAACUGCUGAAUCAUGGCCUGAACCUCUGAUUGAUCACCUGAGGUGAGCAGUGAGUCAGCCAUGGGAGCACAGGUGAAGGCAAUUCACCUGUGCUGUAAGAAGGGGUGGAGCCUGGCUGCACCUCUCCUAGAGCCACUGAAGAGCUGAUUGUCAGUGGGGAAGGGUUUCUCUGGAGAUCCACUCUACUGGAGUUUCAUAAGUGAGCCCGGGAUAUGAGCUUGGAGUGAAUUCUCACAACUGUGGAAUAAGGCUGAGGCCCAUCGGGUUCCUGGAGAAGCUCUCCUACCCCAGCUCUGCAGCUAUGGAUCCACAGCCCAUAUGCUCCUCUCCACUCUCUGGCUGUCCAUGGCCAAAGACUGGCCUUCCCAGUGGCUCAGGCUUCUUGCAGAGGCAGGCAACGUUCCUGGAGAUGUGUGGAGAAGUGACUACAGGUUUCAGUUUGCUUUAUGUUUCCUUUGCAAAGCUGACCACACACUUGAAUUUCUCCAUUUGCUUCCUGAAGUUCAAAGCCAAGGUGAGGAGCACAUUUAGACUGAAUGACCUAACUGUGUUUAGUCUUUCAGGGCAAAAAUGAAACUAUUGCAUGCCUUCCAGAACAGAACACCAAUGGGACGUUCGGGUUGCAGUUCCCACGCAGGGUGCCUGGUGAUUUCUGGAGCUCCCUCAGUGCUGGAGACACCAUGCAGGGCUGGCAGACUGGGGCAGGACCUAGGGAGCCACUGGGAUGCUGGCAGCUGCGACAAGACCAAGCUCAGAUCCUCAGAAGCCUUGACUCAGAGUUAUGUGGCCAUGCCCAAAGGCUCCCUCUCCUCCCUGCCCCUUCUGUUCCUUUGGGCACCACCCUUCUCCCUGCCCCACAACUCCAGUGCCCCACAAAUGCCCUCACUGUCAUGGAGCAGGACAGCGAGGAAGGGAGCAGAGAUAGGGCCAGCCAGGCACUCCCUUUCUCACCAUGGAGAGUAGGGCACUGCUGAGCUGGAAGGCAUUGCCUCUCUGCCCAGCGGCUGCAUUGCAUUGCUCAUCUCUCCUCCUCCCUGCUGCUGCCCUCAUUUGGCUGAUUCUGUAGAUGAAAAGUGGCCUUUAAAAUAUAGGACAAGGUCACGCUUCUCUUCCUGCAGUCACAGCCCUGUGCGGCUGUGCCCUGAUGCUCACUAGCAGCAGCUUUGAGGAGGCACAGUGCAGGUGCUGAAUGCCCUGUGGGGAUGCAACAGCAGCAGUGGUACACAGGCGGCAGCAGCAAGGGUGCAAGUUGGUGGUGAUGGGGUGCCCACCUCCAGCACUACCACAGCAUCCACCCAGAGAGGCUCUGGACUGGUAGCUGGGAGGCUAGGGCUGGCCUUCAGUUGUGCUGCUGCUGUUCCAGAGUGGGUUUCUUUCCAUCGUGUGUCCUCUGCACCGUUUCCAUGAGACAUAUUGACAGCUUUGUGCCGUGCAGUAGAAAUGCACAGUCCUGCUUGUGGGUCUCCAGAGCAGAGGGAGUUGGGCUGAUGUGUUUGUAGUUGUUCCUGGCCCAGUAGUGCCCUCCACUAUGGGAGGAAGGUUGCUUUCCUUGCAAGCAGGAAACACUGCUCUUGCUCACCACCAGUUCCUGCUUGCCCCUCCUGGCACUGCCAGUACUAGUUACAGCUCUGUUUGUCCAUGGUGCAUCUCAGCAGAGGAACAGGCAUGCCAGUAGUCCAGUAGCUUUCAGAGCUGAUACUUUGCAGACUAAGAAAUGUGAUGAGAGUUAGGUGGGCAUGUUGUGUUUGUGAACAGCAUUAGAGUGGGACACAAGGGUGCUGUCUGGGAGGGCUCACCAGUGUUAGGCUGUCCUGAGUGCUCCUUACUGCGCCUUCCUGCUCCUAUUGUCGCUGCUAGACAUUGUCAUCUGUGGUCCGAACUGUCAGUGCUUCAGCCUGCCUGAGCCAAGGCAAAGUGUGCAAAUGAACUUCCCUGGGAGCAGUCUAAGCCUGAAAGUCAUCUGCUCUCCCCACAAGCAUGAAGAGAUUGAAAAUAACAUGCUUGCUAUCUCAAGGGGAAAUGAGUCGAAGGCAAAGCCUCCCAGAAGCAAACACUGAGCAGCAGAACUCCAUCUCGAUGAGAAUUUUUCUCACUGCAGUCCCCGCUGGUUUUCCAGGUGGAUGCCAGGACUCCCAUAGCGCUUUCAGUUAACAGAGGAAGAGAAACCUGAUGUCCUGGCCAGCACAACAGACAGGACUGUGUCAGCAGCUUGGACAGCCCUGGGCACUGCACAGACAACUGUUCUGCUUCUUGGAGUUGCUGUGUGCUGCCAGGAUCUAGCUCUCUGACAGGAGUGCUCAGUGUUCCCAGGAGAGGGCAAGCUGCUGCCCCAUCCCCAAGGACUGCUGUGUUCUCCACGGUUCUGCAUUGUCCAGCUGGAAGUGAUCCCCCCCAGGGUAGGGGAAGAGGCAGCGCUGGCCUGGAUGCUGAGUGCACUUCUCACUGAGCUGUUGGCUGAGUGCCUUCUACCUGCACACCUUUCACAGAAAUCUCUUGGAAAAGAGCUGCUAUUGCUGAAGAGAGGCAGCAGGUUGUCAAUACACAAUAAUCAGAUGUGUGCCUCUGAAUGUAGGACAGGGUGGACCUGUAGCUCUCAGUGUUCUUGAAUUGAGUGGUGUCUGAAAGCCUCCUUUCACCUCUCUGAAUAGCAGUGCAAGGCUCAGACAUUUGCUGCCAGCUCCUGACUGUCAGAUCGGUGGAUCUGAUGGGUCCCCAUUGGUGCAGUACUGGAGGUAGGACAGAGCUGCUACAGGGGUGAACUUGGCCUCCUGGAGUCGAGAAGUAAUUACUGUAACAUGGCCCUCAUGGACCUGGCCCUCUGAGUGGUACCAGGUGAAGCAUCCAAAGGACUGAUCUUUCUCCAGCUUGAAAUUCCUGUCUCUGCUUGAAAUGUCUGUCUCUGGCUGAGACUGGAAGAUGCACCCUUUGCGCAGAUUCUGUCUAGGAGAUGAUGCAGAAGUCCUAGGGGUGACUGUCUUGACAAAGGGGUGUCUCGCUGAUUUUUCACAUUUCUCAGCAAUGCCUUUUGGCCCAAAGACACUCAUUAUUUAUAUCUUUCAAAGCCAAGAACUCUGAAUUAAGAAUUUAUAACUUCAUUAGAGUAUUUUGUUUAUUUGCUUCCCAAUUUAUACUGGGGCAUGACAAUCAUCCUCCUAUCUUUCUGUUAAGGAGUUAAGCCCAUGACUAGCUGCUAAUUUAUUAGCCCCCUUGACAGUGCAUAAAGCUGUCUGCAAUUAGGUGUUGACCACUCACACAGUGAU